CCUACGGGUGGCUGCAGUGGGGAAUAUUGGGCAAUGGGCGCAAGCCUGACCCAGCAACGCCGCGUGAAGGAAGAAGGCUUUCGGGUUGUAAACUUCUAUUGUCAGGGACGAAGCAAGUGACGGUACCUGACGAAUAGGCCACGGCUAACUACGUGCCAGCAGCCGCGGUAAUACGUAGGUGGCAAGCGUUAUCCGGAUUUACUGGGUGUAAAGGAGGGGUAGGCGGGACGGCAAGUCUGAUGUGAAAACCACGGGCUCAACCUGUGGCCUGCAUUGGAAACUGCAGUUCUUGAGUGCUGGAGAGGCAGGCGGAAUUCCUAGUGUAGCGGUGAAAUGCGUAGAUAUUAGGAGGAACACCAGUGGCGAAGGCGGUCUGCUGGACGGUAACUGACGCUGAGGCGCGAAAGCGUGGGGAGCAAACAGGAUUAGAUACCCGUGUAGUC
rnacentral:rRNA from 1 species